UAAUAAGAGAGGAUGCAGUGGUGGAGAACAGAGCAGAUUCCCAAUACUUCUGAGUGCCUAUGUAUAUAAAAUGUUUCCACAAUUUCAUUAAUUAUGCUUCUCUAAAGAAAGAAAGUCUCCUUUUAAUUCUCUGCUUUUAAUAUUUUCUUUCCUUCCUGAAUGGAAUUGAUGUCAAGGAUACUUACAUCGCACUGCAUGACUGAUAUCCCCUGUGUGUGUCGCGCUAGAGUUAAGAAAGGUUAAGAAAUGCUUAUUUUUAGGGGGGAAAAAGAAGCAAAGCCCUCACAAUCUCAUUUCCAAACUGGACCAUUAGUUUUCUUAUUUAGUAUAAGCAUCAGUUACUACCUGCUUAUAAAACUGUUGCUUAACUGAAUUGUCUGAAUUGUAGUUUACACUGUUUCUUUUGUAUCAUGCAUUGCACAGGCAUUCUUUGACUUGUUCAUCAGAAGUAUGUGAGGGUAUCUGCUUGAAAUUAGAAACUUUCUGUAUGAAUUGUGAGUGUUCAUAACUUUGUCGUGCCUACAGUUUUUCAAAACAUGGAUACCUUCCCAUAGUUGCCACAGCAGACUGGAAAAGAAUUAUACAGAGCAAAGUAUUUGCUGCUAUGAAUGUAGAUUACUCCAGAUUCACACUUGAACAGAGUAAUGAGAAAACAAUCUACUCCAAAAGAAAAUACAUCUUCAGACUAACCAUGCAGUUUUCCAUCUCUGCCGCAAGUGAGGAAGGUUGCUACUACAGAAAAAAGGCUCAAUUGCAACGCCUUGUGCGUUGUGGAAAACAUAGGGAUCUUUUCUUUAUCCUCCUGAGACAUCUGGCUCUUAACUGCGUGAUUACUGUGAUAAAAUGAAAAAUUGAAGGAUCAAAAGAGAUAAACCUGGCUUUAUACCUCAUCCAAGCAAAUAUUCUUCUGGCCUAAAAUUACGCAGGGUAUAGUGAUGAAGUAUGGUAGAAAUUCUGUCAGUGCUUGGGCUACUCAUUUUUAUGUCAGUGCAUCUCUUACUGAAACAGGCAGUGUAUCACUACCUACAGAUAGGUUGUGAAAUCUUAAAUUGGUAAGUUUAAGUAAAAUUCACGGCUGCCUUGGAGCAUUAUAUGUGACAUGAAGGUGAAGGUCAGCUCUCGUUUUCCAUGGAAGAAAUGUGAACCUGACAUGACCUGAUCAAUGGAACAUAUUUAACUAAUGUUC